CACGUAGGAUCCGAGCGUUAUCCGAAUUUACUGGGCGUAAAGCGCGUGCAGGCGGUUUGGUAAGUUGGAUGUUAAAGCUCCCGGCUCAACUGGGAGAGGCCGUUCAAAACUACCAGACUUGAGGGCAGUAGAGGGAAGUGGAAUUCCCGGUGUAGUAGUGAAAUGCGUAGAUAUCGGGAGGAACACCAGUGGCGAAAGCGGCUUCCUGGACUGUUUCUGACGCUCAGACGCGAAAGCUAGGGGAGCGAACGGG
rnacentral:rRNA from 1 species